GGACCUUUAGCUCAGCUGGUAGAGCAUGUGAUUCCAGUAUGGGAAAUCCUCAUUCCCUGUUCUUAGUUUCCACAAGGUCGUCCGUUCGAAUCGGGCAGGGUUCA
rnacentral:tRNA from 1 species